GGGGGAAGCAUCCCUUAAAUUCUUGUGCAGUUGCUGAAAAUAAUCAAGAGAAGCUAAAGAGAGAUUCACCAUAAGGAGAGACUCACAUUAGUUGUUUUUCUCUCACUCUCUUCAACUCAGAGCAACAAUGACAAAAUGGGUGAUUAUUUCUCUUUUCUUCACGGCACAUGAUUUAGUGUGCUGGGGACAGGACAGUGUUGAUCAGCCUUCAAGAGAAGAGACUUCUGCUGAGGGAAAUCAAGUGACUUUAUUGUGUAAUUAUACCCUCAUGAGCGCUGCAAAUGCUUAUCUCUUCUGGUACAAACAGCUACCAAACAGAUCACCAACAUUCAUUCUGAGUGAAUUUUCCAUUGGGAAAGGAACGACAGAGCCUGAAUAUAAGGAGAGAUUUCAUACCAAACUGGAUUCCACAUUAGGAUAAGUUCCUCUGAUGAUCCAGGAUGUGUGUGUGUCUGACUCUGCUGUGUAUUACUGUGCUCUGAAGCCCACUGUGACUCAAACACACUCAACACUCACACAAACACACUGUGAGCAUCUGAGUAGUGUUGUUUAACCCCUGAUGUGAUUACUUCCACUGUUAUAAGGACUCUGUGAACCUACUUAUUACUUAUUAACAUAAAAACAACAACAACAAAAAAACACCAACAGAUUCACAUUUGCCACAAACUCUAUGAAAAUGCUUUGCCAAUUGUUACUUAUAUAAUAUGUUCCUUCCUUUAUGAAAACCUCUUAAAACAACAUAAAUGUACAUUACUUUUUUAAAACUUUUCAUUAAUUCAUAUUCAGGUUUAAGUCAGAAGUGACUGUAUUGAACCUUCAAACAAAAACAAAACAAUCAAGAAGUCGUUGUUGCUUUUUAGCUGAUAAUGUGAUCUGAU